AAAGAUAUAAAGGUAUAAAGAGAUCAGAGAGGAAACACUGCUCAAAUGGUCUCUGAAUGAGACUGGAGAUUGGAAAUUGACUGACUGGAAGGCUCCUGGCAGGGGGAGCUUGGAGACAGUCUUGAAGAAUGUCUGAAUUUGCCACAUAGACAACAGGGAAGAGAACGCGCUAGAUAGAACAGCAAAUGCGAAAGCCCUGGACUGUGAGAAAGUAUGUGUGCUUUGACAGCUGUGGUUAACUUGGUGUCACUGGAGCGCUGCUGUCCGGUGGCACUUCCUGUGACGAUGGGACUAUUCUGUGUCUGUGCUGUCUAUCACCGUUGCCACUAACCACAUGCCACAUGUGGCUAUUGAACACUUGAGAUGUGUGUAGUUGAGAACAGGACUGAAUGUUAUCUUUUGUUUUAUCAUGAUUAAUUUGAAUCUAAAUAGCCACAUGUGGCUAGUGACUGCCAUAUUAUCAGCACAGCUGUAGAACAUAGAGUACCUCUGAGCGGGUGAUGGGAGAGACGAAGCUGGAGGGAUGCCUGGUCAUCCUCAACCUCGUGGACACUCCUGCGUUCACUGGAGAAACAGCAGCAGGACUUGCUCUGAGCCCAGGGAAGCAGGGUAACAGAUUUGAUCCCCUUGUGGAGUGUGGAAUAAGGGCACUGCCCUUGAUGGUGGUAGUGAAACCAACUUGUCUGCUGGGGCUCCUUUCAACUAAGAACUUACACAGGGACAGGUAAUCUUUAGUUUCCCUGACAAUUGAAAUGAAAGAGCUAAAAUUACAGAACUCUUAAAAGAAAACUUAAGAUUUGCUAUGGUUUGAAUGUUCCUCCAAAACUCAUGGUGAAUGCCAUUGAGGUGGUAUUAAGAGGUAAGACCAUUGUUUUUUUUUUUUUUUUUUUUUUUUUUUUUCAGACAGAGUCUUGCUUUGCU